rnacentral:rRNA from 1 species
UACGGGGGGGGCAAGCGCUGUUCGGAAUUACUGGGCGUAAAGGGUGCGUAGGCGGUUUGCUAUGUCGGAUGUGAAAACUCUGGGCUCAACCCAGAGCCUGCAUCCGAAACUGGCGAGCUAGAGUUCUGGAGGGGGUAGCGGAAUUCCUGGUGUAGCGGUGAAAUGCGUAGAUAUCAGGAGGAACACCGGUGGCGAAGGCGGCUACCUGGACAGAAACUGACGCUGAGGCACGAAAGCGAGGGGAGCAAACAGG